rnacentral:rRNA from 1 species
UGGGGAAUAUUGGACAAUGGGCGCAAGCCUGAUCCAGCCAUGCCGCGUGAGUGAUGAAGGCCCUAGGGUUGUAAAGCUCUUUCACCGGUGAAGAUAAUGACGGUAACCGGAGAAGAAGCCCCGACUAACUUCGUGCCAGCAGCCGCGGUAAUACGAAGGGGGCUAGCGUUGUUCGGAUUUACUGGGCGUAAAGCGCACGUAGGCGGACUUUUAAGUCAGGGGUGAAAUCCCGGGGCUCAACCCCGGAACUGCCUUUGAUACUGGAAGUCUUGAGUAUGGUAGAGGUGAGUGGAAUUCCGAGUGUAGAAGUGAAAUUCGUAGAUAUUCGGAGGAACACCAGUGGCGAAGGCGGCUCACUGGACCAUUACUGACGCUGAGGUGCGAAAGCGUGGGGAGCAAACAGG